rnacentral:lncRNA from 10 species
UUAAGCUGAUAAGCAACUUCAGCAACGUCUCAGGAUACAAAAUCAAUGUGGGAAAAUCACAAGCGUUCCUAUACACCAAUAACAGACAAACAGAGAGCCAAAUCAUGAGGAAACUCCCAUUCACAAUUCCUACAAAGAGAAUAAAAUACAGUUACAAUAUAUUCAAAGGAACUAGACUCUCACACAGGUAGACAUUCUGACUCCAGAUUAGAGAGUUACAGCCAACCUGUUCUAUACUGCAAAUGAAUAUCAAGAAUGAAGCUGGGAGUAUAAUUGCUGAGUAGAAUAUACUAAGGAGUAGAAUUGCUAAAUUACAUGGUAGGGGUGUGUGUGUGUGUGUGUGUGUGUGUGUGUGUGUGUGUAUUUUUGUUUUUUUGAGAUGGAGUUUCACUCUAGUAUCAAUCUUAGUAAAUUCAUUUAAUUAUUAUCAACCUCCUAGGCUCAAGUGAUCUUCAACACAGGGCUGCCCAAUAACAACUAUAUUUCUCAGCCUUCCCAACAAGUAGCUUCCCAGCAUGUGACUUAGGCUGUGGCCAUGUGACUCCAGCCACUGAACCUCUCAAGUCUGGAUUAGAUAUCUGUGUUUCCACAGGCUUUUUUUUUUUUUUUUCCACAUCACAACCCUUACAGCAGCUAUCAUCCAUAUUUUAACUGCUUAUAUGCUUAUAAUUUUCAUAAGAUUGUAGGCAAGUAUCACAUAUCUGCCUCAUGCAUAAACAGAUCUCCAACAUCCAGCACAAUAUCUAGCAGAAAGUAGACCUUUGAUAUUUGUUAAAUAUAUGACAUUUUGUUUCCAUAGAUUACCUUUAUCAACUCUAAUGCUGCAUCUUUUUUUCUGAGAUUAUUUUACGACAUUAACAUAAACUCUACAAAGAUUUGAAGAAAUCCUAGGCUAGCAACAUUCCUGUACUCCUCCUGGACCCAAAGAGACAAGAAGAAUGGUUAUGAUAACCAGGAGAGCUGGGUGGUAUGGAGGGAGCCACUGGAUAGAAACCGACUUUUAAAGAGGAAGCAGCCAACCCACAGUCACCUGUGAAUAAAUGCUGGGUGAAUAAAUGCUCCUCUCCUCAACCCUCUGAUCCCCCACUAGUGGCUCUGGCCAAGUGCAACCAUAAAACAGAGGAUAAGAGAGAGCCUUGUUGGUGCAAUCCACAGU